CUUCAGUUGAAACAGUAUCUUCAGUACUCUUUUCUUUUACCUUUUUCUUUCCAUUUUCUUAGAUAUCCUUGGACCAUGUUUCUUUGCACUCUCUGCUACACAGAAGCCCAGCACUGUUUGAGGACAGAGACAGCUUUCUUGUUUAAACAAUGAUCUAAUGUUUAAGAUCUUCAUCAAUGAAGAAUUUUCAAGCAUGUGAAAGGGGAAUGCCCAGCCCCAAGUGACCAGUAAUUCCUUCAAUAUAUGGUGUGUUGACCGCCUCCAUCUCAUGGGAUUGUGUCUGCUCUCUCACUGGCAAGCUGAAACUUUUCAUGAAGACUUUAAUAAAUCCCUUGGGGGUUGGACCUUUCUGCAAAUAUAUAUCUGUGGUGGUACUAGAAAACACAGUAUGCCAUGGAAAUAUUGAGAGUCUUGCCAUUACAGCACCAAGGCUGAGCUCCACAGAAGGAAGCUCUGCCCUGAACUUACCCUGGACCCACAGCCAAAGCACUGGAGCUGUCCCUGCUGGGUGUGAGUGGGUUGGCACUUGCCCUUUGCCAGGAGAGGUGGGGGCCAAGAACUUCAAGCUCCCCUGGAGCCCACAGCACUUUGCCAGGCAGAUUAAUGGAAAACAGAUGAGGCUCUGCCAGAAUUUUGUUGCAAUUGCACAAUUUCAGUAAAACUUCCAUUGAAAUUUGAAGUCAAAUGAAUGGAAAUAUUCCAUCUAUAGCACCACUUAGACCUCUUAGUGAGUAAUUGCUGAUUAGUUUCAUUUACUAUUAUGUCAGCCAUUGAGAACCAACAGGGUUUAAUGAAAAUGAACGACAGACCCAGCUGCUCUGACUUACCUAGGCCUGCUGCCCUUAUUUAAGAUAGAUGUUAUUGAAUGGAGUUUUUGAUUAUUUAUGGACUAGAGAUGGUUUUGCCCUCCAAUGGAUGUUCCAUUUUCUGCCCCUUACUAAAUCCAGAGCUGAAAUAUUAAUUACUUCUGUUUUUGUUUUUUUCCUAUAUCACUUCUGGCAUUCUUGAUGCAUACAUUUAAUGACACACAUCUAUGGCCACUAAAAUUGCUAAUAUUUUCAUUGAUUUAUUUUUGUCCUUGAAGACAUAACCUUUUACUUUUCUUUAACUCCCCUCAUUCAUUUACUACAACUGUAAUUGUUAAAUUAAAACAGCCUCCUGAUACAAGAAAAUUAUACAUCAAGCAUCAUCAAGACACAGCAGAGCUGAUGCUCUAGGGAAUGAAGGCUGCCUAACUAGAAGGGAAGCAGAAAUCAGGGGAGAGGUUUGUGGAAUAGGUGCUGUGUAUAUGUCUGGGGCUGCAGUGCCUCCCUCUUUAGCGGGCAGGUUGCAAAUGCUGGCUGGCUGUGGGCAUGGUUCUCACAUGAGCUCAUUGAUGUUGGAGCUGUGUGUAGCUCAGUAUAUUUUGGGCUAUGAGUAUACAUCAGACAAGUAUGUAACAGCGGGAAAACCUGCAGCUGCAAUGAUGGGAAGUAUUUAUACACAGUGGCACCAUGUGGUGUGCUCCCCUAUUCUAUAGUCAGUGAUAUAUAUACUCCCAUACUAUAUUUAGUUGCUCUACCCUGUGUCCCAGCUAAUCCAAAGAAUGAGGGCAUUCAAUAUCUCACAGAUUACCCCACUUUUAACACCAGCCAUUCACCAUACCCGAUGACAUCAAUGCAGAGCCAUGAAUAGACAGAAAACAGGGAAUGCCAAAGGCUAUUGUAUGAAGGAGCUGCCAUCUUGCUCAUCUGUGAAUACAUGGAUACACAAAUUUCUCUCUUAAAAGGGAAUGAAGUUUUAGCAAUACCUGUGUUAAGGCUGCCAUCCUGACUCUGCUUGGUUUUCAAACUAAAAUUCUUCUUCUGCUAGAACUAAAGAAGGUGAAGAAUAAUCUGCAGUCUUCAAAAAAUCAUUUAUUAUACAUUAAUGGAUGGUCGAAUAAUAAAAAUCCUCACCAAGACUGUUGUCA
ensembl:lncRNA